UGAGGCAGGAGAAUUGCUUGAACCCAGGAGGUGGAGGUUGCAGUGAGCCGAGAUCGCGCCACUGCACUCCAGCCUGGGUGACAGAGUGAGACUCUGUCUC
rnacentral:miRNA from 1 species